rnacentral:tRNA from 1 species
GCCUUCGUGGUGUAAUUUGGAAGCACGUCCGGCUGACAAUCAGAAGGUACGGAGUUAGAAUCCCGAUGAAAGCA